rnacentral:rRNA from 1 species
CCCUUAGAUGUUCUGGGCCGCACGCGCGCUACACUGACGAAUGCAACGAGCUUAUAACCUUGGCCGAAAGGUCUGGGUAAUCUCCAAAUUUCGUCGUGAUGGGGAUAGAUUAUUGCAAUUAUUAAUCUUCAACGAGGAAUGCCUAGUAAGCGCAAGUCAUCAGCUUGCGUUGAUUACGUCCCUGCCCUUUGUACACACCGCCCGUCGCUCCUACCGAUUUCGAGUGGUCCGGUGAAACUUUUGGACCGUGCGACUUUAUUGUUGUCACGGAAAGUCAGUUAAACCAUACUACUUAGAGGAAGGAGAAGUCGUAACA